GACGAACGCUGGCGGCGUGCUUAACACAUGCAAGUCGAACGGAAAGGCCCUGCUUUUGUGGGGUGCUCGAGUGGCGAACGGGUGAGUAACACGUGAGUAACCUGCCCUUGACUUUGGGAUAACUUCAGGAAACUGGGGCUAAUACCGGAUAGGAGCUCCUGCUGCAUGGUGGGGGUUGGAAAGUUUCGGCGGUUGGGGAUGGACUCGCGGCUUAUCAGCUUGUUGGUGGGGUAGUGGCUUACCAAGGCUUUGACGGGUAGCCGGCCUGAGAGGGUGACCGGCCACAUGGGGACUGGGAUACGGCCAGGACUCCUACGGGAGGAAGCGGUGGGGAAUAUUGCACAAUGGGCGGAGGCCUGAUGCAGAAACGCCGCGUGCGGGAUGACGGCCUUCGGGUGGUAAACCGCUUUCGCCUGUGACGAGGCGUGAGGGACGGUAAUGGGAAAGAAGCACCGGCUAACUACGUG
rnacentral:rRNA from 1 species